UACGUAGGGUCCGAGCGUUGUCCGGAAUUAUUGGGCGUAAAGGGCUCGUAGGCGGUCUGUCGCGUCGGUAGUGAAAACUCAGGGCUUAACCCUGAGCCUGCUUCCGAUACGGGCAGACUAGAGGUAUGCAGGGGAGAACGGAAUUCCUGGUGUAGCGGUGAAAUGCGCAGAUAUCAGGAGGAACACCGGUGGCGAAGGCGGUUCUCUGGGCAUUACCUGACGCUGAGGAGCGAAAGUGUGGGAGCGAACAGG
rnacentral:rRNA from 1 species